rnacentral:rRNA from 1 species
GUGGCGAACGGGUGAGUAACACGUGAGUAACCUGCCCUUGACUCUGGGAUAAGCCUGGGAAACCGGGUCUAAUACUGGAUACGACCUUCUGGCGCAUGCCAUGUUGGUGGAAAGCUUUUGUGGUUUUGGAUGGACUCGCGGCCUAUCAGCUUGUUGGUGGGGUAAUGGCCUACCAAGGCGACGACGGGUAGCCGGCCUGAGAGGGUGACCGGCCACACUGGGACUGAGACACGGCCCAGACUCCUACGGGAGGCAGCAGUGGGGAAUAUUGCACAAUGGGCGCAAGCCUGAUGCAGCGACGCCGCGUGAGGGAUGAAGGCCUUCGGGUUGUAAACCUCUUUCAGUAGGGAAGAAGCCGCUCUUUUGGGGUGGUGACGGUACCUGCAGAAGAAGCGCCGGCUAACUACGUGCCAGCAGCCGCGGUAAUACGUAGGGCGCAAGCGUUAUCCGGAAUUAUUGGGCGUAAAGAGCUCGUAGGCGGUUUGUCGCGUCUGCCGUGAAAGUCCGGGGCUUAACUCCGGAUCUGCGGUGGGUACGGGCAGACUAGAGUGCAGUAGGGGAGACUGGAAUUCCUGGUGUAGCGGUGAAAU